CACACACACACACACACACACACACCCACCGCGCGCGCGUGCGUCUUAGCGGGGUGGGACACAAUAGAAAUACCUAACGAGCUUCCUCCCCCUGCCCCCCUCCCCGUUAGAGAUUAGAAUAAGGAAGGGGCAGGGGUUUACUACCCAAUCCACCCCCACCCCAUCCAGCCACCCAAAUAGGGAUGCAGACAUAGCAGAUGGUCCUUUUCUCCCAGAAUAUGGACCCUUGAAUAGGACCUCCAUUUCAACCCCUCACCCCAAAGAGGAACAGUCUGGUAAGAACGUCAUUAACUAACUGUAGGUUCAUGACCUGGGGCGUGUGGGAGGAACUAACUUCGAGCUGAACAGCCAUGUUUACUCAGUAUGAUUUUCUUCCCUAGUCGGUAAAUUGAGCCCCAUUUGGCAGAUGGAGCAACUAAGGCUCGGAAACAUUAGGUUCUCGCCCAAGGUUAACCAACCUAGGUGGUAAGUUGUGGAGCUGGCCCUUUCCCCUAGACCGGGUCGGCAAACUGCGGCUCCCGAGCCACAUGCGGCUCUUUGGCCCCUGGAGUGUGGCUCUUCCUAAGCCUUAGGAGUACGCUAAUUAAGUUAAUAGCAAUGUACCUACCUAUAUAGUUUAUGUUUAAAAAAUUUGGCUCUCAAAAGAAAUUUCAAUCAUUGUACUGUUGAUAUUUGGCUCUGUUGACUAAUGAGUUUGCCGACCAUUGGUCUAGACCACACUGAAAGUAUUAGGAGGUCAUUUCAUAAGAGGCCACCGUCUUUGCCCCAAUUUUCACCAGGGAUGCAGAUUUCAUAUCAUCGUCCAUACCUCCUGCUCUGAUCUUCCUAACCUGGGCUGAAGGACAGAGGACUCAGGAAAGGUCUGGGGAAAGGAACCCAAAAUGGAGUCUCUCUAAAAAAAUCAACUGAAAAAUAUCCUCCUCGGGUGAGCAUUAACAACAACAAAAAGACAAAGGAGUAUAAAGGUGGGUGAUUAGAAGAAAAACAGCAAGCCUACAGAACCCUGGCCAGGGCCAAGGUUCGAUAAUCCCACGGCACAUGAAAGUUCGAGCCCUGGAAGACAGUAAUCUUUUGAGGCCAGAGAUUCAUUAUACUACUCCACCUUUCAGUUGGAAAAAAGCAAGGUGAUGUGAAGGAUGAGCUGCUCCACUGCUGGAGAUGAAAGCCUGAAGAUACCAUCAUGGUCAAAGGCAAGGUUAAAAACACCUGCUCUUCACCCCCCCCCCCCCGCAAUUUUCCAAAACCACCCCAACUGCCUGCUGGAAUCUCCUAAAGCCCAGAGGGGGCUUAGCCAGCUCCCUUGCCCAGAUGAGUGUGGGUGUGGUAUAUUUCACUCUGUCCCCACCUGCUCCUGCUCCAGCUCCCCUGAAGCUUAGAGGGUGGUGCUUCCCUCAGUCUGCAGCCCCUGGCCUGACGGUGAAUGAUAGACGACUGACACGGAUAAAGACUGGCUGCUCUUCUCAGAGAGGAAAACUUGGGCCAGAAGGCUAAGGGCUGGGGAGAUGGUAGCUAUCUCAGAAACUGUAUACCAGUGAUGGCGAACCUAUGACACGCGAACUCAUUUUUUUUGGUUGAUUUUUCUUUGUUAAAUGGCAUUUAAAUAUAUAAAAUAAAUAUCAAAAAUGUAA